UGAUGAACGCUAGCUACAGGCUUAACACAUGCAAGUCGAGGGGAAACGACAUCGAAAGCUUGCUUUUGAUGGGCGUCGACCGGCGCACGGGUGAGUAACGCGUAUCCAACCUGCCCAUCACUUGGGGAUAACCUUGCGAAAGUAAGACUAAUACCCAAUGACGUCUCUAGAAGACAUCUGAAAGAGAUUAAAGAUUUAUCGGUGAUGGAUGGGGAUGCGUCUGAUUAGCUUGUUGGCGGGGUAACGGCCCACCAAGGCAACGAUCAGUAGGGGUUCUGAGAGGAAGGUCCCCCACAUUGGAACUGAGACACGGUCCAAACUCCUACG
rnacentral:rRNA from 1 species